AACGCACAUUGCGCCCGGUGGUAUUCCGCCGGGCAUGCCUGUUCGAGCGUCAUUUAAACCAAUCUAGCUUCGUGCUUAGGUCUUGGGCCUUUCGCCUCUGGGCGGGCCUUAAAAUCAGUGGCGGUGCCCUCUGGCUCUAAGCGUAGUAAUACUUCUCGCUAUAGACGUCAGGUGGUAUCUCGCCAGUAACCCCUAAUUUUUAAAGGUUGACCUCGGAUCAGGUGGGGAUACCCGCUGAACUUAA
rnacentral:misc_RNA from 1 species